rnacentral:misc_RNA from 1 species
UAUGACUAAUGCUUUUCUAUAUGCAGUACAAAUCAAGUCAUUCAAUGUCAUGUAAAUCCAUCCCUUUCCAUAGUGCAGGUUAGGAUUUUGGAAGGGAUGAUAGGAAAUAUGCAAGCCGAAUCAACAAUAGUGUUCUUUUUCUAAUUAUAACCAUAAUUUGAGAAGUAUAGAUUGGUAAAGUAGCAGAGAAUCACAUGCCAGGAAUAGUAACAAAAGAUAUUGUAUUCUUGUAUUUUCCUUGACAGCAAGGACAGUUGCCACAUAAACAAAUUAAAGUUCAUCAAUCUGAAUGCAGAAAUGGUUUCCACUACUCAAAACCAGCUAACCAACAUGCUGCAUCAAUACUGUUUGUGCUACUGUGGGCCUGUGGCAGAUGGCAUUUGCUAAUCAAGGGCAUUUUGAGGCUUUAGAACUUUUUAUCUAUAGUCUUCAGUUUUGUUCGGUAUUAGCUUUAUCUGAUGACUAGUAAUUAUUAUAACAAGGAUUUUGAGCCCAUAAUUAGAGUCUUUUCCUAUGGCAUGUUCCAGCAAGGGUACCGCUUUGACACAGAAUAGUACACGCCCAGGGCGUGUACCAGAUCCCUUUCACAUGCACAGAGGGUGUGGCCUUCUGUCCAGCAGUGAAAGAUUUUU